rnacentral:rRNA from 1 species
CUUGACCUCAAAUCAGGUAGGACUACCCGCUGAACUUAAGCAUAUCAAUAAGCGGAGGAAAAGAAACUAACAAGGAUUCCCCUAGUAACUGCGAGUGAAGCGGNNNAGCUCAAAUUUAAAAUCUGGCAGUCUUUGGCUGUCCGAGUGU